rnacentral:rRNA from 1 species
GACAGAGGGUGCAAACGUUGUUCGGAAUUACUGGGCGUAAAGCGCGUGUAGGCGGCCCUGCAAGUCGGAUGUGAAAUCCCACGGCUCAACCGUGGAAGUGCAUUCGAAACUGCAGGGCUAGAGUCCUGGAGAGGUAGGUGGAAUGCUUGGUGUAGAGGUGAAAUUCGUAGAUAUCAAGCGGAACACCGGUGGCGAAGGCGGCCUUCUGGACAGUGACUGACGCUGAGACGCGAAAGCGUGGGGAGCAAACAGG